ACUUUUAAAGGAUAUCAGCCAUCCAUUGGUCUUAGGAACCAAAUCACUUGGUGCAAAUCCAAGUAAAAGUA
rnacentral:tRNA from 1 species